rnacentral:lncRNA from 1 species
CCACAGCGCCGCCCAAGGACCGUCAAGCACGUUGUCGUCGCGAGGCAUCAGAAGAUGCUGCCAGCCACUGCUCCUCUGCCCCCAACACAACUUUCUUUUGUUUUGUUUGAGAGAGGUCUUGCUGUUUAGCCCUGGCUGGCCUUGAACUCACAGAGACCCUCCUGUCCCCGCCUCACUAAUGCCUAGCUCUUCAACUCUACUGAACAGAAGCUGAGCACACCAAUGACUCAGGACUGAGAGCUUUGAAUCCUCCACUCUGUGGAACAAACUGUACCCAUCACACCUGGGAAGACCCCAACGAUGUCUGUGUCCUUCCCCAAAACUCCAUGACUACGGGGUAGGCCGUGAGCCUGCUGCCAACACCACCGAGUUGGAUACACAAACAUAAACAUUGCACCACUCCGCAGGGGUGCCGAGUCAGGAACAUUCUGCGGUUUCUUCCUCUUUGCAAGGGGAGGUGUUUUACUGGCCACCAUGUGUCUUUGCCCAGCAACGUCCGCUUUGGCCUCUCUUAGCACUUGCGUUCUGCCUAGAUUCUUCUGGAAAUUCGGGACACGUUAUUUUUAAAGGGCGUUUUUACAUCCCUUUGAGCAACGAUCCUAAAAGAAAUCUUCAGAUAACACUGCCCUCCCUACCUCUCAGAACAGCCACAGAAAGAAAAAAAAAUUUGUUUAUUUUACUUAUUCAGCUGAGGACCUCGACAUACUUUUUGCAUUGAAUCAUAAAAUGUUACAGCUGCUGCCUUUUCAAACUACACACCAAGUGCAAUUUUUCCUUUU